UAGAAAUUUGACUUCAAGACCAUUUAAAAGAUAUGAUACGAAACCCAGCUUUACCUGAAUGAUUUUUAACAUAACUUUUUUCUUUAUUUCUUCCUUCCUCCCUUCCUUUCUCCCUUCCUUCUUUCCUCCCUCCUUUCCUUUUCCUUUCCUCCCUCCAUUCCUUCCUUCCUUUUGUAGCUUACACCAAGAGAGUUAAGACAGGAAUCCCUCAGUGAACUGAUUAGGCAAAGAGAACUUCUGAGAGAAAUACAGAAUGAUGAG